rnacentral:rRNA from 1 species
CAAUAGCGUAUAUUAAAGUUGUUGCGGUUAAAAAGCUCGUAGUUGGAUUUCUGUUGAGAGCAGCCGGUCCACCUUUUGGGUGAGUAUCUGGAUUGGUCUCGGCAUCCUCUCGGAAGUCGUCUCUGCGCUUGAUUGCGUGGUACGAGGUUCGAGACUUUUACUUUGAGGAAAUUAGAGUGUUCACGGCAGGCAUACGCCUUGAAUAUAUUAGCAUGGAAUAAUACUAUAGGAUUUCGGUUCUAUUUUGUUGGUUUCUAGAGCUGAAAUAAUGAUUAAUAGGGACAAUUGGGGGCAUUCGUAUUAACGCGUCAGAGGUGAAAUUCUUGGAUUGCGUUACGACGAACUACUGCGAAAGCAUUUGCCAAGGAUGUUUUCAUUGAUCAAGAACGAAAGUAAGGGGAUCGAAGACGAUCAGAUACCAU